rnacentral:misc_RNA from 1 species
UUAUUUGUUUUAAGCAAAUACAUAUAUUUAAACUAAUAUAAACAAUACAAGUUGGAAAUAUUUAAACGAUUAUUAUUUUAUAACUUCCCGUGGAUUGUGUGUGCUUUUAACGAUAACGACGAUGACGACGAACUGUGGGAUUAACACCGCCUGGAACUGAACGAUGGAUCUAGCAGAUCAAAUCGAUGACUAUAUCUGUUCGUUCGAGGGACUUGGUGACUUAACAAUGGACUCCCUGGCCAUCUUCAUUUUCCUGUGGGCCGUUCUGGCCCUCUUCUCCGUGUGGCUGAUCAAGCUGCUCUACCACAAGUAUCUCAACAAGGACAAGGCGGCCAGUGCCGCCAACAGUCGCCAGACGAGCGUGGCCCCCACCUCCGGCUCACCCACGUCCGUCGCCGGCAAGACGGAGAAGCGCCUCUCGGAGCCGCGCGAUCUGCUGGCCACCAAGAGCAAGGUGGAGGGCUUGGACCUAUCCAAGCCUCUGGCCGGCGCCUCCGGAGGUCGUGGUCGCUCAUCGGCCUCGCCCUUGAACAGCGGUGGUGCUGCCGCCGGCGGUCCACGUCGUCGGGUGGUGCGUCAGAGCUCCACUGGGCCGGAGAAUCGCAAGAAGCGCUAUGUCCCACCGCCGUCGAAUGUCGUGGGUCCAGAAACGAGCUCCGUCACCUGGACCAGCCAAGUGUUCCGCUGGCUCUACAGCGACCUGGUCAUCGUCAACGAGCUGCUCAUGUCCUGGGUAAUUGCCAUCAACGACACGCUGCGCAAGUCUGUGGAGGAGCAUGGAGUGGCCGUUGAAGUGGUUCGAGUGCUCCCCGACAGUCCUGCCCCCGGAUUGAAUAAUAUCUUUUGUAAUUGCGAUGAAAACAAUCCCGCUGAUAUGCUCAUCACCUUUGACUGCGAUGCAAUGCCGGUGCUGCAGGUGAAGACCUUCCGCCAGAAGGCGGGCAAGGUGGAGACCUCCCACUACAAGGUCACCGUGUCCAGGUUCCGCGCCCGUAUGGCCAUUCCCAUGAACUACAACAGCCUCAAGGGUGAGAUGCGAGUGGAAGGCUAUCCGGAUGUUCGCAUCGCGAUGAACAGCGUGGGUGCCAUCAAGGCAAUGGAUCAGGACGAACAGCAGCUGCAGACGGUGAUCAGCGACAUCCUGACGACGGCACUGCGUGACACCGUCUAUCCGGUGGACUUCUCCAUCUACUCCACCUGUCCGCGGGCCGAGGUGGAGCCCCUGGACCUGCCCGUAAUCUAUCCCGUUCACUAUGACUCGCUGGCGCACAACAUGGAGCAUCACCUGGGAGGCGUGGGAUUGAGGGACUCCCAACACAUGGUUUCCGGCCGCCGGCUGCUGGUGAAGAUCGUCAAGGGUGAUGGCAUAAGGGAUGCCCAGAAUCCCUAUGUGGUCAUCGAGAUGGACGAGCCGGCCCAGAAGAACCAGACUGGCACUCAGCGCGGCAGCAAACCCUUCUGGGAUGAGCACUUCCUCUUUGAACUCUCCCCCCAAUCCGCCGAGAUCCUGUUCGAGGUGUAUGACCAUCCGGUGAUUGCCUCAGAUCCGCCCAAGUUCCUGGGUCUCGGCCUGGUUGGCAUCGAUGAGCUGGCCGUUGGACCCGCAUCCACUCAGCUGCUGCAGCUGCAGCCGCGUCCCUAUGAGACGCAGCCCGUUUCGGGUGCCAUCACCGUGGACUUUGUGUUCAUCGAGGGUGCCGAAAUCCCGGCGGGCGUCCGUCCACAGCGUCUCAAGGAGGCCUUACGUCUGAGCACACCGGCCAUCAACGAACACAUCCGGAAUGGAGCCGAUCUGGCGGAUGCAGCCGUUAGAGCUCUGCAGGAUGGAGCGCUCUCAAGCAGCGGAAGUGGCGGACAGCCCAGCAAGAGCACUUUGAUCAUCCACAGUGUGCAGCGGAAUUCGAGCAGCCCGAAUGCAUUUAAGGUCGAGUUGAACCGAGAUGGCCAAAUCGAGGUGACCGAAACGGCAACGGAAUUGGAUCAGGCAGUGGCCCAGGCCUUCGAACGGGCAGCCAACGAGGCGCAAAAUGAGCUCGAGCUGGAGCUGGCCAAGGAGGAGAAGGCCAGCCAGCUGGGCGAGGCUCUCAUCGAUUCAGGUAACGGCACCGUCAACGAGGACAGCACCGCGGAGUUUGGCCAGCCCAAUGCCGCCUCAUCGCCGAAUGGCAGUAGUUACCACAACAACUACAGCCUCAAUGGCAAUGGCAACUCCAAUGGCGCCGGUUCGGCCGGAUAUAACAGUCUGUCACGGAACGGUGGCGCCCAGCAGCUGGCCCAGCACUCCGGAUUAUUGGAGGGCCAUGACGUGGUCGAUGAUCGCGGGCGCAGCAAAAAACGUAAUUUCUUUGGCACCCUGAAGAAGCGGCUCAGCCGCUCCAAGACACGCACCCUCUCGGCCGAUCAACCUAAUAAUAACAGUCAUAAGUCACUAUCAGCCACCAACUCGAAUACAACAACAGCCACCGGAUUCCCUCGAACAGCCACCGGAACCCUUAAUGGUGAUUCUUCCCGUUCAUUAUCUGUCGAUCGUGGCACUCUGUCCAAAAGCAAUUCACUUGGACCACGCAUGGGCAUUGGUCACUCCAUCACCGACCACUCACGCCGCUCCUCAAUUUCAGAAUCCUCGGCCAUCUCAGGCUUUUCCUCGGCUAGCAAUAAAACCUAUGUGCACGAGGCCUCCACCCUGGUGCUGGAGACCAUCGAGAAUGGCAUAAAGCGCCACUUCAUUGUGCCUUUGGCCAUCGCCCAGAGACCGCGCUGGCGUCGCAAGGGCACCAAGCUGCACAUCUACAACGAUCACACCUUCAUCGCCAAGCAUUUGAGCGGAAGCGGUCUGCAGUGCUCCAUCUGCAUGAAGUCCAUACCGCGGAGGCCCGGAAAGCAGGGCUACGAGUGCCGCGACUGCCAGCUGAUUUGUCACAAGCAGUGCCACAUACGGGCACCACAGGCUUGUCCCAAUCCCACGGUGCUCUCCAUGGAACUAACGUCAUUUCCGGAUGGCCAGUGAGGAGUAGAAGGGUCUCAGCCACAUCACAGCAUCUUUAGCCAGUUAAAUACCAUUCUCAAAAUGUUCAUUCUGACGCCAUUAAUUUUAAAAAAAGAACAUACACAAUCCUCCUUCGAUUUCUUCGAUUUGAACGCAAAAAAGAACAGAAAAACAGAAUAUGAAAACAAAAACUCCAGGGUUCUAGAUCUGUUCUGCUGCAGUUUUGAGAGGUUCGCGCAUUUUCCAGUUGACCCCUUGGCAACUGGAAAAUCGGGAACUAAACUUAAUUCGGCGGCGGCAGACCGCAGCAUACGGAAGCUGUGAAUGUGGGGAAUACCCUGGGAUCCAAGCAGCCCUUAAACGAGAAACCUUAAUCGAAUAAUAGCCUAGUUACGCAGAUAUGAAGGAGUUGUGCGAACCAUCUUCUUCAGCUACGGAAAUCCUCGAUACAUUACGUUAUUUAUUUAUACACUCACGCGAACACAACACACAUGUGCAAUAAGUUCUUUGGAUUCGUUUUUAACCCAUUUCUCUGUGUCAACGUGCUCGAGCCCUUUGAUAUUUUGUAUUUUCUACAAACACGAAUAAUAAUUGUACAAAAUAAAAGUGAAUUAGGGUUUUUUAAAUUAAACAACAAAUUCGGUGAAUCAAUAAAGUUGUGAUCACUAA